AAGAAAUCAUAAAAGCGAUAAAAGAUCGUUUUGGGCUUAAAGAAACGUUCGGGUUUAAUUGGGCCCAUUGGGCUUUUAUUCAAGCAUUGGAUGACUAGAAAUAAAUAAAAGCCCAAAGCCCAAAUCAACACAAAGGGGCCGGCCCUUUAAAGUGGAGAGGGAGAGAUAUUUAGUCAAGUUGUUGACUAGGUUUCUUUUUGUCUAUAUAAGGAACUUUAUAGAGUUUUAAUCCUUAGGGUUUUUUGUGUGUUUUAAAACAACAAAUAGGCAAAAGAAACAUCUUUCUAAAACCACAAAAGGCCGGCCACCUUGAGGGUGUUUUAGCUAACAAUCUUUCACCCUUUUGGUUAUUCCUCCAUCCAUCUCACUACACUAGUGGGUGUGGGUAUUUAGAGGUCUUCUCCUUUGGAGACUAAAGGAGAACCUUGGAGCACUCUUACUAACAAAGUGGAGGAGGCAAGGAGGGAGGCUAGGCUCAAGGACUUCAAGGAGCAAAGGACUUCAAGGUGGUCCAUCCUUGGUCUAAAAUCAAGAUCAAGAGGUAUAGAUCUAUACUUUCACCUUGUUCUUUACUUGAAUGUUUUAGAUGCAUUAUAUAUAAACCUAUGAACCUUGAAGGGGAUUUGCAUGACUAUAGCUUUGAUAUUAUUUGAUAAAUUGCUUCCGUUGCUCAUGUAUAUAAACCUUGAAUUGUAUAUGCAUGCUAGAUAUUUAGAAAUCCCAUGUGUUAAACUCAUAAUUUUCCCUUCACCUCACUUCGCCGAGAAGGCUGAUGAGAUGACCUCUGCCAACAAAAACUCAAAAAUCGUUCUUGGCCGAGACUUGGAUAGCUAACCAGUCGGCCGAGACGUAGUGCUGUUUAUCCAAACUGAAGAUGUCGUUGGUUGCCUUCACAGUGCUGUUUAUCCUGAAGGAUGAUUUUGUGAAAACAUGUUCAUUUGAAUAACAUCUAUAGCAUGCAUUUAACAAUUAAAAGGCGGAAACAUGCUUGCAUGCAUUCAAAACAAAACAUUACCCAUGAAAUUCAAAGCCUAGUAGAUUGGUGAACCAAGACUCAACUCAAAUCAAAGUGAGUUGAGAAAUAUAUACCUUUGUAGAUUCCUAUUUGCAUAAGCAAAGGCUAAUCACCCAAAGAGAGGGCCUUCAUUCCUUGCAUCUAAAUUUAUGGAUUUGGAUGGAAGAA
rnacentral:lncRNA from 1 species